rnacentral:rRNA from 1 species
AUUGAACGCUGGCGGCAUGCCUUACACAUGCAAGUCGAACGGCAGCACGGGAGCAUCCUGGUGGCGAGUGGCGAACGGGUGAGUAAAGUAUCGGAACGUGCCCAGUCGUGGGGGAUAACGUAGCGAAAGUUACGCUAAUACCGCAUACGAUCUAUGGAUGAAAGCGGGGGAUCGCAAGACCUCGCGCGAUUGGAGCGGCCGAUAUCAGAUUAGGUAGUUGGUGGGGUAAAGGCUCACCAAGCCGAAGAUCUGUAGCUGGUCUGAGAGGACGACCAGCCUCACUGGGACUGAGACAAGGCCCAGACUCCUACGGGAGGCAGCAGUGGGGAAUUUUGGACAAUGGGCGAAAGCCUGAUCCAGCCAUGCCGCGUGCAGGAUGAAGGCCUUCGGGUUGUAAACUGCUUUUGUACGGAACGAAAAGGUUUGGCCUAAUAAGCUGAGCUCAUGACGGUACCGUAAGAAUAAGCACCGGCUAACUACGUGCCAGCCGCCGCCGUAA